rnacentral:tRNA from 1 species
GGGCGAUUAGUUAAGUGGUAUAACGACGGUCUCCAAAACCGUAGUUGGGGGUUCGAUUCCCUCAUCGCCCGCCA